AUACCUUUCGCCAUGUGCCCAGGGAACCAGCGGGCCACAUCCCGGCCACUGCAGUCGAACCGCUCCCUCCAGCCUUGGACUGGUGCCCGCAAGAUAGUCGUGAGCCGCAUCCUCCUCUCUUCCAGAAGACUCUCCUUGCCAAAUUACUCUACUUACUUCCGGGAGAGGGAGGAAGAGUUUGUUGCUAUGACAACAAACAGAGGCACUGCUCCGUCAAUCCAACAGAGGAGAGGGCGCAUUUUUUGUGAUGCAAUUGACUAGGAACCGGCCCUUAGAUCUGUCACCACCCACUCCCCCAUAAGUUAUCUGAGACCGCAUGCGCGAAGGGGGAAGGGUGAGCUCAAUAACCGAGGAAGAAUGAGCAAUCCCAGCCCAUUGUUUGAGAGCCCUAAGGAAGAGGCAGCUGCACAGGUUCCAGAGGUGCCCACUGAUGGAUGUGCCACGUACAGCCCAAUGCCACUGCCACCACCUUCUCCCGAUGGAGAGCCAGGAAUGGGGUCCUGCGGCCAGUGCCAAACCUGGCUUCUAGACCUGCUGGACGAUGUGCGCUAUCUUAUCUCUUGCACGAACUGGUACUAGUAACUCUCUCUGUGCCCACCUGCCAGGACCACCAGCCUGUUCACCUGAAUAGGGGAGCAGAGCCCACGUUGUAGAAAAGUGACAUCGUUGGCAGAUCCUGGCUGUCCAGCUGUGGUUAAAGGUCUGGAGGAAAAUAAAUGCUCUAGCUUGAUCUGACA